UACGUAGGGUCCGAGCGUUGUCCGGAAUUACUGGGCGUAAAGAGCUCGUAGGUGGUUUGUCGCGUUGUUCGUGAAAACUCACAGCUCAACUGUGGGCGUGCGGGCGAUACGGGCAGACUAGAGUACUGCAGGGGAGACUGGAAUUCCUGGUGUAGCGGUGGAAUGCGCAGAUAUCAGGAGGAACACCGGUGGCGAAGGCGGGUCUCUGGGCAGUAACUGACGCUGGAG
rnacentral:rRNA from 1 species